UUCUAACAAAAUUUACAUUCAAAGAAGCAAGAAUAAAGCUUGUAACAAUUACAACAUUCAAAUCAUAAACUAUUAAAUUACAAAACCCAAAAGGAUUAACCAACUACUAGACCUAGGCUUUGAUACCACUUGAAUCAAAAUUUUGUGAAAAACAUGUUCAUUUGAGCAACAUCUAUGGCGUGCAAUUAACAAUUAAAGGCGGAAUCAUGCUUGUAUGCACUCAAAAACAAAACAUUACACAUGAAAUUCAAAGCCUAGUAGAAAGGUGAACCAAUACUCAACUCAAGAACAAAGUGAGUUGAGAGAUUUUAUACCUUUGUUGAUUCCUCUUUGCAUAAGCAAAGGCUAAUCACCCAAGGAGAGGGCCUUCAUUCCUUGAUUCUUAGAUCCAUGGAUUUCUUGGAUGAGGAUGGUUGAAAGGAUUCUCCAAGUUCCCAAAAUUGAGAACCUCUAAUUUUUCCACACUAAGGAAGGACUUGAAGAAGAGUUGAGUGACCUUCGAGGAUGAGAGAUUGCUAGCUAAUCUCCUCCAAGGGGGGCGGCCUCUUAGAGAGAAAGGGAGAGACAUUGUGUUCUCAUCUUUUCUCUAAAAGAAAACCCUAAUCAAGAAAAGGCUAUAAAGUCAUAUUUAUACCUACCUUCAUUGGAGUGGCAAACUUGUAAUAAGUCCAAAACCCACUCCAUUAUCAAUAUGGCCGGCCAUAGGGUGUAAUUGGGCUGUUUGGGCCUUUGUCAAUAUUUAGUCACUAAGUUGUCAUACAACUUAAGUCAAUGGGAUUGACGUUCGAAGCCCAUUGGGCCUUGAGGCCCAAAACUAACCCGAGGUCUUU
rnacentral:lncRNA from 1 species